rnacentral:rRNA from 1 species
GACGUAGGGCGCGAGCGUUGUCCGGAUUUAUUGGGCGUAAAGAGCUCGUAGGCGGCUCAUCGCGUCUGCCGUGAAAACCCGCAGCUCAACUGCGGGCUUGCGGUUGAUACGGGUGGGCUGGAGUUCGGUAGGGGAGAAUGGAAUUCCUGGUGUAGCGGUGAAAUGCGCAGAUAUCAGGAAGAACACCAAUGGCGAAGGCAGCUCUCUGGGACGGUACUGACGCUGAGACGCGAAAGCGUGGGGAGCGAACAGG